CUGUGGCUCUGUUGACUUCCUGGGGAGGGCCAGGGAUCGAUUAAGGAAUGUAUUUCUCUCUUGCAGGACCGGAAAUAUGUGGGUGGUGGAAAAGAAACAAGGCUUGAAAUGCACUGAGCUGGAAGAGCAUCUGUGGAAAAUUCAUCCAAUCACCAAAUGUAGGAGAAUGUCUCCCGACCCUCUGUGGGAGGCAGCUGGAGAUACUUCCUGAGGUAGAGCAGGUUUCCUCAGCCUCUGCACUCCUCACACUCUGGGCUGGAUACGUCUGUUUUGGGGAGGAGAGGAGAGCUGUCCUGUGGAUUGUCAGAUGUUUGGUGGUAUUCUUGGCUUUUACCCCAGCGCCAGUACCACCUACCCUCACCCUUCCAGCUGUGACCAUCGCAGAUGUCUCCAGACAUGGCCAAAUGUCCCCUGGGUGGCAACAUAAUGUCACUGCUCGCUGAGAUCUACUGGCUCCAAGAAUCAAGAGAGGCAGAGUGGGUCUGUGGGAGCAGGAUAGUAAAAGAUGUCUCCGGGUUUGCUGGAACUUUUGCAUUCUUUUCUCCUGAAAACCUUCCAAGACCCUUGGGCAAGUUUGGAUCUGCAAGCCUUGACUUCCUCAUUGGUAAAAUGGGGAUACAACCAAAGCUACCCCAUAUAAAGAGAUCUAUGCCAAGUGCUUGUCACGGGUCACAGUGUCUGGCACAUUCUGAAUACUCAGCAAGUGUUAGACACACACACACACACACACACACACACACACACACACACCCCACACAACCUGUCAAGCACACAUCAGAGCAGUUGACUUUCUGGCAGAAAAUGUGGCGAUGGCUAUCUUUUUUAAGAGUUUAAAGAGAUCCAUGUUAUUGUGAGUUAUUCAAGACAACAGUAAUAAAUAGACCAGCAAGACGAACUGCCUUUUAUAGAAAGAGGGAGGCAGUGUUUAAUAACUAGGCAUAAGAGAGCAAUUUCUCCACUCUCAAGAAGACAGGAUAAACCACUCACUAUAGACAUUAAUUGUAUUAUUCCUAACCUUCCCUACAUUCACUUAAAGUAGGUAUUACUUUUCCUAAUUUUAGCAUAAAGAAAUAAAGUGCAGAGAGGGUAAGUCACUGUUUCAAGGUCAGAGUGCAAAGAAGUUGUUAAUGCAGGAGUCCAGCCCACACACGGUCGGAUUCCAACUCUAUCUUCCACAGUUGUGCUAUAGAAGGGAAAGGGAAUAGAGCAGAAAUGACCUGGGAAAGAUGGUGAAGGAGACACUGGGCCAGAGAAAAACCCAGGCCUGACAGACAGAGCUCAGCACAGGGAGCUGAGACUCCCUGACAAAGAGUAGACCUCAUCUUUACGUGUUCUGCCUUUGUUUCUAAAGGGAAAUCAAGCAGGAGAGAGAGGAGGCAGAUGUUGAGAAUUCAGCUGGAGUAGGUGUGUUGUUGAGAAGAGGAACUGUUUUGUGCUGUCUACACAGCUGAGCGUGGGGUGCUGAGCAUGAAGCCCUAAUUUAGGCUGUAGAAACCUAGCCAGCAGGGUCCUGUUGGCAGAAUGUUGAGGAGGUUUAAAGGAGAAGGGCCAGGAAAGACAGAAGAGAGUUUUUGAAUUCAACUUUGGCUAAAAAACCAAUUAUCUGGAAGAAACGCAUACUGUCAUGUGUCCAUUUGGGUGCUCGAUCUUUCAGCUGACCUGCCAGGUUGGCUGAAAGGUUAUUCUACUAGUUUUCCCUGGACUUCCCUCUUUGACUGUUCAAGUUGGGCUGUCACGACAGGGAUCAGUGCUUUACACAAGUCCCAGGGAACUCUCUUGUCUCUGCCAUCUGAGGACUCACCAAGAAGAAGGAAUCAUCUAUGGACCAGGGGCAGCCCUCCAUCAGACACUGAACCUGCUGGCUUCUGGAUCUAGGACAUCCCAGCUUUCAGAGUUGUUGUCUGUGGAAUGUGGAUUCACCUUACAGAAAAUCAGGCCCAAGCAGGCAAGAAUGGCACCUCCAGAUGCCAACCUAGGGAGUUAAACAGUCUUCAAUUCCUUAGACCUGCUAUAAUUGAGAACAUCCUCCUCUCUGUUUUCCUCCUGCCCACUUGCUGCUCCCUAGAGGGGGACCUGUUUCUAAGAAGCCUGGGAAGGCUUCAUAGGAAUUGGAUGUACAGUGUUUUGAAGGAGAAAAACCCAGGUGUUUGAGAUUUCUAUCCAGGAAAGAAUUGACUAGUGGCUUUUGUUCACUCAAAAGCAUUUUCUAAUUGUUUAAAGGUUAUCAUGACAUGGCUUGUAUGUGACUGCAUCCCCUCAUCUUUCUUGAGCACUAUUUUGAAGAGUCCAUCUCUAUAUUCAAAGGCUCAUGCAUCAGUGCAGUUCCUUUAUGGGUAACGCAGGAAGCCUGGAGAGAGAGUGUGGGGUUCUUAGCAGCAUUUCCUACCAGCCAGGCUGGGCGCUCACUCGAAUGCAGACAUGCAGAGCAUUUUCCUUCUAUGUAAAUAUCUAAUCUACACCAGGGCCAUCAUCUGACUGCUUUCAUUGCCCUCAGAUCUUGGAAAGUCAUUUUAAGGUAGAGAUCAUUUGGCAGUUCUAUUAAAGAAGUUGGUCUCAUAUCAAGAAGUAGCAAUUCGAACAUAGCUCUGAAGUUUUUUUUCCUGUGAGUGUUAUAAAAGAUCAACUCAAAGUAGGUUAAGCAGGCAAAGAGAUUUAACAGAAUAUAAGAGUUUCUCAUAUAAGUAGAGGAGGGGUUGAACAAAUAGAAGGAUGCAAGUCUACUCAAGGAAAAAUUUUAUCUCUGCUUCUCUCUACCCAUAAUCACAACAAACUGGCCCACACUUUACAGCUCUCCAUUUACACAACUAGAACAGGACUCAGUUUUUCAUUGGAGGCAAAGUAAAAUGAAGUACCAGGGAAGUGCUGUGAUUGGUUUAUUUGGGUAGAGCUCGCUCCUGGAUCCAAGAGCAGAAGCUGUUUCCUUGAUAGUUUAUCCAAUUAUGUUGAAAUUUUUGAGCCUAAGAAAGUCAGCUCUUCUUUUGUGUACUGCAAAUCAUGAUUAUUUUGUUGUGCAUGCAUCUCUUUCAGAAAAACUUAAAGCUUUAAGUAUGAUGUUUAGUUCCUUUGACAGAAUCUUUCAGGAAAAAGUAGAAAUAACCACCUCAACAAAAAGUCUGCUAUUCCAAUUUUAUUAAAAUGAGUCAAAUAUUCUGCAUAAGAUCCUGUGCUGUUACUGUGUGAGGGAUUUUUAGUGCUAUCAAUCUGUAGAUUUAAUAACCACUGUUUAAAUAUGUAUAUCUAGCAUAGAAAUUUGUUUUGUUUUAAAUAUACCUUUCUUUUUGGUAUCAGGAAUGGAACUCAGGGCCUCACACUUGCGAGGUGGGUGCUGUGCCACUGAGCUACAUCCCCAGCCCUUAAACACAUCUUUUAUUUGUUGAGUUGCAACUGAAGUUUUAAGGGAGAAGCUGAUAAAAGUUAUGGCCCCACAUUUAAAAAGUGAGGCAGCACUGGUACUUUGUGCUAUAUCCCUCAAAAAGGUAAAUGUUGAAGAACAUAUCUGCUUCUAUCAUUCUGCUCAGUUUUGUUGCACUUAAUCAUCACUUAUUGGAGCAAAUUUCUUCACUUAUCCUCUUCAUCCUCCAGUCCUGGUUUCCUGGGGGAGCUAGCACUCACUCCUUCAGGGAUACUUAUGUACUGCCUUUGAAGACUGGAGAAAGAAGCAGAAAGAUUAAGCAGAAAACCUGAAUCUCUUGCUGGAACCUAAGGCAGAGGGUGAAAUAUAGUGGCCUGGAUCCAAAUGUAGACUUUGAUUACUUGCUGUGUGAUGCUGAAUAUAAUAGUCAAUAUUGUAAAGUUUUGACUAUCUGCUUUGUAAAAUUGGGAUGAUGAUGUGACACAGAGUAGCUUUGACUACUAAAAUAGAUCAUUUAUGUAAAGUGCUUGGCAUGUGAUUACUUAGUGAGAGUUCUGCUUGGAGCCUACCAUAGUCUGACCUCAUUUUCUCAUCUGUCUCUGUUCUUGGGUCCCUUUGCUUCCCCAGCACACACCCACCCACAUCGAUCACUAGAAGUUGGGCUGAUGCCACAUAGCCUGCAGCCUCUCUUCUGUCACUAUUGCUGUUAUAUGACUACGUAGUCACUGUAGAUUGGUUGGUCUCAGGCAGGAAGGACACUCAUGUGACAUCUUAUGGGUCUGGACUUGAGGUGACCAGUUUGCCUUGAUCAGAAUGCUCUUCUCCUUUAAAGGCUAUGACUUGUAAGUGUCCUGAUUCUUUCUUUUGCCUUCCAUAUGUAAAUGUAUAUUCAUUCCAAACACCCUCAUUUUUAAAAGAACUUUUCUUAGAAAGAAGAAAGAGUGUUCAAUAAAGCAACAACACAGAUAAAAGGUCACUGUCUUUGGAGUAACAGAAGCUGGCUAACCUGUCCAUGGCUGGUGAAUCCUGUCUAUGGUUGGCAUGGCUUCUAGAGGGUGACAGAAAAGAGAACCAAUUGGCAAUCAGAAAUAGUGCCAUACAACCACUCAGGCACCAAAGUGCUAUGAAUGUCAAGUGCAACAUAUUUGCUGAGGCAGAAUCAGAGUCCAGCCAAACUCUAGACCAUGCCAAGUAAGGAUGAAAUAUUACUAUUGUUUUUGCUGCUCAUGAAUAUCCAGUUUUUCUGAGGUGAUAUUUGUGCUAGUAUACGAGGGAAACAAACAUGUCUUUGGCCUUCUCUGGUUCUUGGAAUCAAGCUUGGUAUUACAACAGAAGAGCCCAAAGUCAUACUAAUUGUCUACGUAUACCAACAUAUGUAGAUGCCAGGAAGAGAAUCCAUCAAGGAAGGCCCACGAUUAGAUGAUGAUGAAUACCAUGUACAGCUUGGCCUGCAGGGCUCCUAGAUGGUCACCAGUCCUGUCCUUUCCUGGGCAGCUGAGGGAAUGGCAGUGACCAGCUGCUUCUGGAGAUUCUAAUCUAACUUCCUGAGAAUUUGCACAACUGCUCUGGACAGCAACUCUAGCCUGAGUGACACUUCUGAACUCAAUGUGCCUUUUGCUGAAUACUGUAUGUUAUGUUAGCUGAGGAUUCCAUCACCAGGCCGAGGGCCAAGGACAAUCCUAUUUCUGUUCAGAAGAGUCAAGAGCUCUUUCCAUUUAAUCCUGUCUCAGAUAACAAUCAGAUGAUUUAAUCCAUAAAAAUAA